CACGUAGGGGGCGAGCGUUGUCCGGAUUUAUUGGGCGUAAAGAGCUCGUAGGCGGCUCGGUAAGUCAGGUGUGAAAACUCUAGGCUCAACCUAGAGACGCCACCUGAUACUGCUGUGGCUAGAGUCCGGUAGGGGAGCAUGGAAUUCCUGGUGUAGCGGUGAAAUGCGCAGAUAUCAGGAGGAACACCUGCGGUGUAGACGGCUUUCUGGACCAUUGUUGACGCUGAGACACGAAAGCGUGGGUAGCAAACAGG
rnacentral:rRNA from 1 species